GCGUGAUUUAUGGGGAGCCUGGAUAUUUCGGCUGAGAGGAGGCGCGGCCUCGACCCGAUGAACCUGAUGUGGGUAAUGCCACCGUAGGGAGAAUAGCUCGAAUUCAG
rfam:Synergistes sp. 3_1_syn1 genomic scaffold supercont1.8, whole genome shotgun sequence.